rnacentral:hammerhead_ribozyme from 1 species
AUCCAACUGGCGAGUCCUGAAUAGGAUGAAACGCCUGUCUUGGAU